rnacentral:rRNA from 1 species
CUGAAUAACUUUGCUAAUCGCACAGUCUUUGAACUGGCGAUGUAUCUUUCAAAUGUCUGCCCUAUCAACUGUUGAUGGUAGAUUAUGCGCCUACCAUGGUUGUAACGGGUAACGGAGAAUCAGGGUUUGAUUCCGGAGAGGGAGCCUGAGAAACAGCUACCACAUCCAAGGAAGGCAGCAGGCACGCAAAUUACCCACUCCCAGUGCGGGGAGGUAGUGACGAAAAAUAACGAGACGAUGCUCUAUGAGUAUCGUCAUCGGAAUGAGUACGAUAUAAAUACUCUAACGAGUAUCUAUUGGAGGGCAAGUCUGGUGCCAGCAGCCGCGGUAAUUCCAGCUCCAAUAGCGUAUCCCAAAUUUGUUGCGGUUAAAAAG